rnacentral:rRNA from 1 species
GAUGAACGCUGGCGGCGUGCCCAAUACAUGCAAGUCGAGCGAACAGACGAGGAGCUUGCUCCUCUGACGUUAGCGGCGGACGGGUGAGUAACACGUGGAUAACCUACCUAUAAGACUGGGAUAACUUCGGGAAACCGGAGCUAAUACCGGAUAAUAUAUUGAACCGCAUGGUUCAAUAGUGAAAGACGGUUUUGCUGUCACUUAUAGAUGGAUCCGCGCCGCAUUAGCUAGUUGGUAAGGUAACGGCUUACCAAGGCAACGAUGCGUAGCCGACCUGAGAGGGUGAUCGGGCACACUGGAACUGAGACACGGUCCAGACUCCUACGGGAGGCAGCAGUAGGGAAUCUUCCGCAAUGGGCGAAAGCUUGACGGAGCAACGCCGCGUGAGUGAUGAAGGUCUUCGGAUCGUAAAACUCUGUUAUUAGGGAAGAACAAAUGUGUAAGUAACUAUGCACGUCUUGACGGUACCUAAUCAGAAAGCCACGGCUAACUACGUG